AUUAACUCAUUCAAAAAUAUAUGCCAAAUAUUGGAACAAUACAGAGAUUAGCAUGGCCCCUGAGCAAGGAAGACUGGCAAAUUCACAAAGCGUUUCAUAUGUGU